GACGAACGCUGGCGGCGUGCUUAACACAUGCAAGUCGAACGGAAAGGCCCUGCUUUUGUGGGGUGCUCGAGUGGCGAACGGGUGAGUAACACGUGAGUAACCUGCCCUUGACUUUGGGAUAACUUCAGGAAACUGGGGCUAAUACCGGAUAGGAGCUCCUGCUGCAUGGGGGGGGUUGGAAAGUUUCGGCGGUUGGGGAUGGACUCGCGGCUUAUCAGCUUGUUGGUGGGGUAGUGGCAUACCAAGGCUUUGACGGGUAGCCGGCCUGAGAGGGUGACCGGCCACCUUGGGCCUGCGCUACGGCCCAGUCUCCUACGGGAGGCAGCGGUGGGGAAUAUUGCACAGUGGGCGGAAGCCUGAUGCAGCAGCGCCGCGUGCGGGAUGACGGCCUUCGGGUUGUAAACCGCUUUCGCCUGUGACGAAGCGUGCGUGACGGUAAUUGGUAAAGAAGCACCGGCUAACUACGUG
rnacentral:rRNA from 1 species